rnacentral:siRNA from 1 species
UGAAGGGUUUACGAUGGUA